UGCAGAAUCCCGCGAACCAUCGAGUCUUUGAACGCAAGUUGCGCCCGAGGCCUCUUGGCCGAGGGCACGCCUGCCUGGGCGUCACGCCAAACACGCUCCCACCCCACUAACCUGGGGCGGGACGCGGCAUGUGGCUCCUCGUCUCGCAAGGGGCGGUGGGCCGAAGAUCCGGCUGCCGGCGUAUCGUGCCGGACACAGCGCGUGGUAGGCGACCUCGCUUUACUAAACGCAGUGCAUCCGGCGCGUAGCCGACGCGAUGGCCUCAAUGGACCCUUUUAACGGAGUGCAUGACUCUUCGACCGCGACCCCAGGUCAGGCGGGACUACCCGCUGAAUUUAAGCAUAUAAAUAAGCGGAGGAGAAGAAACUUACAAGGAUUCCCCUAGUAACGGCGAGCGAACCGGGAACAGCCCAGCUUGAGAAUCGGGCGGCUGUGCCGUCCGA
rnacentral:rRNA from 1 species